UAUAAAGCAUUCCUUCCUCCUUGCUUCCGGAAGAUCCUCCUAACUUCCUGGAGAGCCUGUUGGAGAGAACACAAGUAUUAGAUAUCUUCCUCUUGGGAAACUAGAAAAGGAGGAAAUAAGGAUUCCACCCAACAGAUUCCUGAAACUGAGAAGCUGUCUUGAACAGAAUAUUUGGAAGGAGAAGGAGCCCUCUCUUUGGGCUGAUCUUUGAGAUCCUAGUAUUGCAGAUCAAAAACCUUGAUCCAGCUGUGAGACAGGAAAGAUGGAAAAGUUGCACCAUCAGAUGCAUGUUUUCUCAACCCUCCUGCAGCCAAUCUAUAAACUCCCAUUUGAA